rnacentral:SRP_RNA from 1 species
CUGUGCUAGGUGGGGGGCUAGCGGUCCCCUACAUCCACAACCCGCUACAGUGGAGCCGAAGGGCUUCCGGAGGGGGAAGGCGUGAGGGUCCGUCCUCGGGCAAGCGGUGCCGACGACCGAGCCCUCUGCGGCGCACGUCGGUGAAUCCCGUCAGGCCCGGAAGGGAGCAGCGGUAAGCUGACCUCUGCGGGUGUUAGAGGACCCCUUGGUCUGAGCUGGCUACUCGAGAAGCGCCUUGCUCCUUCUUUCGAUGGCGCCACGCACAG